GUGCCAGCAGCCGCGGUAAUACGAAGGGUGCAAGCGUUACUCGGAAUUACUGGGCGUAAAGCGUGCGUAGGUGGUUGUUUAAGUCUGUCGUGAAAGCCCUGGGCUCAACCUGGGAAUUGCGAUGGAAACUGGGCAACUAGAGUGUGGCAGAGGAUAGUGGAAUUCCUGGUGUAGCAGUGAAAUGCGUAGAGAUCAGGAGGAACAUCCGUGGCGAAGGCGACUGUCUGGGCCAACACUGACACUGAGGCACGAAAGCGUGGGGAGCAAACAGGAUUAGAUACCCGCGUAGUCC
rnacentral:rRNA from 1 species